AUUGAACGCUGGCGGCAUGCCUUACACAUGCAAGUCGAACGGUAACAGGUUAAGCUGACGAGUGGCGAACGGGUGAGUAAUACAUCGGAACGUGCCCAGUAGUGGGGGAUAGCCCGGCGAAAGCCGGAUUAAUACCGCAUACGACCUAAGGGUGAAAGGGGGGGAUCGCAAGACCUCUCGCUAUUGGAGCGGCCGAUGUCAGAUUAGCUAGUUGGUGGGGUAAAAGCUCACCAAGGCGACGAACUGUAGCUGGUCUGAGAGGACGACCAGCCACACUGGGACUGAGACACGGCCCAGACUCCUACGGGAGGCAGCAGUGGGGAAUUUUGGACAAUGGGCGCAAGCCUGAUCCAGCCAUGCCGCGUGCGGGAAGAAGGCCUUCGGGUUGUAAACCGCUUUUGUCAGGGAAGAAAUCCUUUGGGUUAAUACCUCGGGUGGAUGACGGUACCUGAAGAAUAAGCACCGGCUAACUACGUG
rnacentral:rRNA from 1 species